UACGGGGGGGAGCAAGCGUUGUUCGGAUUUACUGGGCGUAAAGGGCGCGUAGGCGGUCAGCACAAGUCAGUUGUGAAAUCUCCGGGCUUAACUCGGAAAGGUCAACUGAUACUGUGCGACUAGAGUGCGGAAGGGGCAACUGGAAUUCUCGGUGUAGCGGUGAAAUGCGUAGAUAUCGAGAGGAACACCUGCGGCGAAGGCGGCUUUCUGGGCCUUACCUGACGCUGAGACGCGAAAGCGUGGGGAGCGAACCGG
rnacentral:rRNA from 1 species